GAACAGAGGUUCGAGCCCUCUCUUUACCAGGUAGGGCAUUAAAUGAGGUCUCACCAACAGGCAGAAUUAUACCUGCCGGGGCUU
rnacentral:tRNA from 1 species